UGCAAAGUCCAGGCUCCUGGGUCCGUUUGUGUAAAAUGAAACUGACCCAAGAUGCCUUACUUCCUGAGGAUCUGGGCUUAACUUGUCAGCAGAGUGCCAGAGGUUAGACUGCAGGCUGAACCCAGGUGACUGUCUUGGAGAUGAACCCAGAUUACAAAGCCCGUGGGGAGGGCUUUCAAGGGCACACCUUGGCUGACAACCCGGAGAGGAUCCCACCUGCUUAGCUGACACGCCCUCCCCUUCCACGCUGGGGGCUUCCUACUCUGAUGUUCAUUUUCCAGGUCCUGGAGUUCCCCAGCAGAGCCUGGGGGUGAGGAAGGAAAUCGUAGAGCCCUGGCUUCCUGAGCCCUGCCCACGCCCCCCUGAGCAGACCAAGUUCAUCUACCUUUCUAGGGGAUCCAGCCCAGGGCACGCCGCUUGGCACAGCCUAGGUAGCAUAUGUUGGCUCCGUCUGCCAGGGCCUCACUGUUCAGGGGAGUCUAGGAGCCCUCGGGGGACCAAUAGUGAAGGCACUGAAACAUGCACAUCAUAAUAUAAAUCCAAGAGCAGC